rnacentral:rRNA from 1 species
UACGUAGGGAGCAAGCGUUGUCCGGAUUUAUUGGGCGUAAAGAGCUCGUAGGCGGUUCCGUAAUUCAGGUGUGAAAAAUCUGGGCUCAACCCAGUGGAGCACCUGAUACUGCGGUGACUCGAGUCCGGUAGGGGAGUGUGGAAUUCCUGGUGUAGCGGUGAAAUGCGCAGAUAUCAGGAGGAACACCGACGGCGAAGGCAGCACUCUGGGCCGGUACUGACGCUGAGGAGCGAAAGCAUGGGGAGCGAACAGG